rnacentral:lncRNA from 1 species
ACGGUAUCUGAUGUCCAAAGUUGAAAAAAUGUGUUUGGACAUUUCGUUUUUCUUAGGCAGAAAGUGAAAUCAGGCUUUGCGACACUGUUAGCUUCUUAUACCAUAAGCUACCUGUUACUUUUAUACCUGUUUACAUCUAUCUUUUAUCAAUCUCUGGUUUUAACCCUAACCCAUUCUUAGAUUUUAUUCGUAUCAUCUCGUCUUUUACAUUGUUCUUGUUGUAGGUUUUAUUGACUUGGUUCUCUUGGUAUUGAAGUUGCUUCCAUGGGGAUAAUCUCUUGAACCAUCUCUGUCGUUCAUAUGAUGCCUUAAGGGGAUGUCAACUAUCUUAUUGAUCCGUGUUUUAUUGACAAGUUCUUGUAAGAGAGGGAAGAGCUUUGAAGGGAUUUACUACUGGAAUAUCAAAGUCACAAGUGCUUAUUAGACUAGAUGGAGUUUGUAUCAGAAUUCUUAUGUGAUUUAACAUUCUGACUUGUAUGAUUAUAUGAUAACGAGAGUUACUCCAAUCUUUUGUUUUGACCCGAAAUAUAAACAAGACAUGAUUUUUGAACAAAAUGUGAUACACAUUCUUGGUUUCGGC